AGCUACUGAACCAUAUGUGUACCUAGGGGCCAUUUUGAGACAAUUUGCUGAAUAUUAAAAGUACAACCGAUAAUGUUUCUCUCCACAUCCACAAUAGCGCUUAGAGGAAGCAUCUGGGAUUGAGCCAUCUCACAUCUGUCUAAUCACAUUCAUUCAAAUGUGAUGGACCCAACUGGCCUACGGACAUGGCUGCAUAUCACCAUGGGUGGAAAUUAAAUCAGAAUUGGGCUCAGGAGAGAGAUGAAGUGAAAAUGCACAUAGAUAAUUGGCUCAGAUAACAUUCUGUUUCUAGAAGUCACAAAGAGUGGAAAUUGGAAUAUGUAAAUUAAAGAAAAACAGUCCUUAAGAUCAAGUCCACAAUAGAAGAAGAGCAUUCAUCUGGUACAAGUUGAUGAUUGCGUAAGCCCAAGGAGUGAUGUCAACACUGAGGUUCACCUGAGAACAUGGACACAGCUGAUGAGGGUUUAGGAGAUGCUCAUGUGAGGUCUUCAUAUGUUCCCUGGAUCCCAGCUCUGCCUUCCCACCAGAGAGGAUGUAAUUCAGCCGAGAUGUCCCAGAGUCAGCUCUCUGCUCAUAUCUGUUCUGCACUGAAGCCAAUCAUCUGAGAAACCCAAGAAGUGUUUAAUGUAGUUAGGAAAGUGAAGGAUGGAGACCAUAAAUUCCUUUUCAUGUAGCAGAGUAUAUAUGUGAUACUCAUUCUGUGGUAUUUGGGGCAUAAGUGAGUUGAUGAAGGAAUGUGAGGGCACUCCAAAUCUUGACUUUUAUCUCUAUAAAAAUGGCAUAGGGACGAAACACACUUGGUUGUUAUGACUGUACUCUUUUCAGAUUUACUACUUGCCUUUCUACUGAUUUUUCUGUGCCACAGGUCUUGACUCCUGUAGGCUAAAUUUCUCAGCCCCUUCUGCUCACUGAUAUAUGGGAAGGUUUGGCCAAAGGUGGGUGACUUGUGGGGAGAAGGAUGAGGGAAUUCAGGGGAUUGCUGAGCCCAUUCUCUACUUUAGACAGUGCUGCUGGCACUGGCUCUGUCUUCUCUGUUUCCAUCUCCCAUCAGACAAUUCUUCCUUCUAUGGGCCUAGCCCUACCUAGACACUUUCCGGUUGGAUUCUAGUUCUGGGGAUGCUCCCUUCUCCAGGGAUCUGAGCCCUUCCCAUUGUCUUCAGCUCCUGGGCUCAGCCAGAACCAUCUUUUCCUAUUGUCCCUAUGGUGCUAGGGCUUUCAGUGGUUAUUAACGUCUAUGUUGUAUCAUGUUGCCUGAAUUUCAGCUCUCUGUAACCAGUUCCCCAAAUAAAAUUCCCCCCAUUUACCUAC